UACGUAGGGUGCGAGCGUUAAUCGGAAUUACUGGGCGUAAAGGGUGCGCAGGCGGUUAUAUAAGACAGAUGUGAAAUCCCCGGGCUCAACCUGGGAACUGCGUUUGUGACUGUAUGACUAGAGUACGGUAGAGAGGGGUGGAAUUCCUGGUGUAGCAGUGAAAUGCGUAGAUAUCAGGAGGAACACCAGUGGCGAAGGCGGCACCCUGGACCAGCACUGACACUGAGGCACGAAAGCGUGGGGAGCAAACAGG
rnacentral:rRNA from 1 species